GAUGAACGCUGGCGGCGUGCUUAACACAUGCAAGUCGAACGAUGAAGCCCAGCUUGCUGGGUGGAUUAGUGGCGAACGGGUGAGUAACACGUGAGUAACCUGCCCUUGACUCUGGGAUAAGCCUGGGAAACUGGGUCUAAUACUGGAUAUGACUUCUCAUCCCAUGGUGGGGGGUGGAAAGAUUUAUUGGUCUUGGAUGGACUCGCGGCCUAUCAGCUUGUUGGUGAGGUAAUGGCUCACCAAGGCGACGACGGGUAGCCGGCCUGAGAGGGUGACCGGCCACACUGGGACUGAGACACGGCCCAGACUCCUACGGGAGGCAGCAGUGGGGAAUAUUGCACAAUGGGCGCAAGCCUGAUGCAGCGACGCCGCGUGAGGGAUGACGGCCUUCGGGUUGUAAACCUCUUUCAGUAGGGAAGAAGCGAGAGUGACGGUACCUGCAGAAGAAGCGCCGGCUAACUACGUG
rnacentral:rRNA from 1 species